rnacentral:rRNA from 1 species
CCUACGGGUGGCAGCAGUGAGGAAUAUUGGUCAAUGGACGAGAGUCUGAACCAGCCAAGUAGCGUGAAGGAUGACUGCCCUAUGGGUUGUAAACUUCUUUUAUAAAGGAAUAAAACGAGGCACGUGUGCCUUUUUGCAUGUACUUUAUGAAUAAGGAUCGGCUAACUCCGUGCCAGCAGCCGCGGUAAUACGGAGGAUCCGAGCGUUAUCCGGAUUUAUUGGGUUUAAAGGGAGCGUAGAUGGGUUGUUAAGUCAGUUGUGAAAGUUUGCGGCUCAACCGUAAAAUUGCAAUUGAUACUGGCAGUCUAGAGUACAGUUGAGGUAGGCGGAAUGCGUGGUGUAGCGGUGAAAUGCUUAGAUAUCACGAAGAACCCCGAUUGUGAAGGCAGCUUACUAAACUGUGACUGACAUUGAUGCUCGAAAGUGUGGGUAUCAAACAGGAUUAGAUACCCGUGUAGUC